GGUGAAUAGUUUUAGGAGAAUCACAGAACACAUAUCUUGUGUCUCUAGCCUAGUUACGUUGGCAAGAUUAUCUUUGGUUAAAACAACACCUCUUUUUAAAUAUAAAAAAAAGACUUUUAUACAAAAGGGAGCCUCGCCUAGUCAAGAUAUAGGGGUCACCUUCAUCCAACAAACAUGCCAAGUCAGAUUUGUCGUGAUCAUUUUGGAAUAAUCCCAAGCAUCUGAUUUCACCACCAAAGGUGAUGAUUCUAUUAAUAUAUUACUUUAUUAAACAAUAAAAAACAGAAAGUGGCUUAAAUGAAAUGAACAAUACUAGGACCUUGUUUAAUUCACAAAAAUUUUUGGAUUUGACUAUUAUAGCAUUUUCGUUUUAUUCAGCAAUUAGUGUUCAAUCAUGGACUAAUUAGACUUAAAAGAUUUAUCUCACAAUUUAUAGAUAAAUUAUACAAUUAGUUAUUUUUUAUCUAUAUUUAAUGUUUUGUAUAUGCGUACAAAGAUUUUUUAUCAAGUGGGCGAUCAAAUUGUUAACAUCCAUCCGUCCCGCCCAACACUAACAUCAGCUUUUGCAGUGCACCAACCGCUAGCCUUUUCGUUUAUUACUAAAUCCAAGUUAUAGGUGCGGAGAGUGUUGCCGAUCGAACUUCCAUGUCAUGGGAUAAAUUGGGGCUCAGUAAUCUAAAAGAAAGUGAGUUGUUUAAUUUCCAACGUAUAGAGGCUCCAAAGAGAAAUUCAUACCAAUACACUUGUGAUUGGAAGAAAAUGAAUUGCCAUUGCCAAUAUACUUGAUUAAUUUGUACUUAAUUAUGUAAUUCGAAAUAAAAUAGCAUGCAUUACAAGACGCAAGAGCCGGUCAGUGGCCGCUGCCAAAUUGUAUUUUGGUUUCUUUAUGAGCGAGUCUUUGCUUGUCGUCUCGUGCAACGAGAACGCUUCCUGCGGUGCCUCCACUCUAGCAUCCAACAAGGCUCCGGUGUGGAAUUUAUAAACUAGGACACAGCAAGCAAGUCGAUCGAAGUUGCCAUGCACUUUCCUUCCCACCUUGCACUGUCACCAAAAGACCUACUCCAACCACCAUCUUCUUCCCUGAAUCAACACUAUUUUCCUUCCCCAGCUCAAGCAGCCAAACAGAAGACACCAACCAGCUACUGCGAUUCUCGCCGGUAAUUUCUUUCCUGCCCACCUUGCAGUGUUAUUCCUACUCUAGCAUCCAUCUCACUGCUCCUCCUUUCUUCAAUCACUGGCGAGCCACAAUCCAGCAGUAGUAUAAGGUGGGUCAGGUCGAAGAUGUCCAUACUGAUACCUGUCUAACCAUAAACCAAGAUUGAGAUCCUAGUCCACGACCAAGAAAGAACAAAGUGGCACUGCCUCACCAAUUCUGGCCAUUGCACAGCUCGUCAACUUGAGGUUUGUUUCCUUAACCGUUACGUUUCUGCAGCUAUAUAGUUGUGCACAUAUAGUGCCCACUGUGUUGUAAUUGUUAUAUGUCUCUGCAGCUGCUUAUGAGUAUCUAGAUCUGUGCAUAUAUAGUUGCCACUGUCAUGUACUUGUAUCAAUAAUGAACGAGAAGUCAGUACUAGUGCCGCGAUGGCUGCAUGUGUAGAUGGAAGAUGAUUGAAAAUAUUUGUUGUAUAAAAUUGAAAUGCAAUGUUGAAAUUAACAUAUGUUCUAAUUUCGUUACAGCAAAAACGGAAGUUCUCAAUCAUGGCCGGUGUCCUAGAUGCUUUGGCAUCCUACAUCCAAAACAUGCUUCUGCAGAUGGCGGCAGAAGAGGUGCAUAUGUUGCUUGGGGUGUCCGGUGAGAUUGACAACAUGGACAUCAAGCUUCGGGAUCUAAAGAACAUCCUUGCUGAUGCUGAUAGGAGGAACAUCACUGACAAAAGUGUCCUAGCAUGGGGGAUAGAGCUAAGGAAUGCUAUGUAUGNNNNNNNNNNNNNNNNNNNNNNNNNNNNNNNNNNNNNNNNNNNNNNNNNNNNNNNNNNNNNNNNNNNNNNNNNNNNNNNNNNNNNNNNNNNNNNNNNNNNACGGAAAGAAAGCGUUUGGCUAUGAAAGACCAAGAAACCUAGUUGACAGCCAUCCAUUAGAUCUAAAGAAAUGCAGAGUUGAAGUUUCCAAAAACUGUCCAGCAAGCAGAAGCUGGUCUUUUAGUACCUCACACCGCUACAGUCUUACCCACUAACGAAGCCAAUGGGUUCCUCUAAUACCUGCAAAAAAGUUUUCGGUCUGCAUUUGUCAAAAAACCACUUCAUUUCUUGUUAUCCAAAUUGUCCAAACUAGGGUCAUAGCUGCCAUUAAUAAUAAGGAAUUAAAAGUGUUACUAGUCCUCUUAAGACCAAUUAACAAAAAACAAUCAUUUAUACUAAGAGGAGGUGCAAUUCCAAACAACAGGCGUACCACACGCCACAAGAAUUAGUAUAAAAACAUUCGAAUAAGAGGUGGUGAAUAGUUUUAGGAGAAUCACAGAACACAUAUCUUGUGUCUCUAGCCUAGUUACGUUGGCAAGAUUAUCUUUGGUUAAAACAACACCUCUUUUUAAAUAUAAAAAAAAGACUUUUAUACAAAAGGGAGCCUCGCCUAGUCAAGAUAUAGGGGUCACCUUCAUCCAACAAACAUGCCAAGUCAGAUUUGUCGUGAUCAUUUUGGA
rnacentral:lncRNA from 1 species